rnacentral:lncRNA from 13 species
GGAGUUCACUGUGGCCCGGAUAUCUUGUGGCACAAUUGUAAUGUUUUCCUCCAUGUAAAGGACAUCAGCUAUUUUUUACUCUUUAACAUCCAAAGGGAACAUGGAAAAUACUUCUUUUUUUCUCUCAUCACAGUAUUUCACUUUUCAGUUUUAUUGAGCUAUAAUUGAGAACUAAAAUUUGUAUGUAUCUAGGGUAUACAAUAUUUUUUUCUGAGACGAGAUGUUGCUUUGUUGCUCAGGUUGGAGUGCUGUGGCAUGAUGGUGGCUCACUGCAGCCUCAACCUCCUGUCCUCAAGUGAUCCUCCCACCACACCCUCCUGAGUAGCUGGGACUACAGGUUAGAAGAAAAUCACAAGUCUGACCUAUACUUAAAGGGAGAAGAUUAUGCAGGAGCAAAAGCACGAGAUGGGAACCAUGGGGCCUUGGGAGAGUCUGCCACGGAAAGAGAAGCACAAAUCCUAUCCCAUUGCUUCAUCCUGCAGAUUCUGAAAGCUCUCUCUUCAAAACACAUCCAGAAUCCAAACAUCGGUCUCCUGCAUGUUUGUCAGAACCUGCUAACUAAGCUAUCUUUCCAAUGCCAAGUCCUUCAAAGGUUUAAUCUGUUAAGCCUCAGUUGACUCACUUGUACAUCGGCAAUGAAGUUACCUAAACUAUAAGUAACUACAGUUUCUCCAUUUCUCUCCAUUUCCCAUGAUGAAGUUUUCCCAGACCAGUAAGACGAUGAUACCAUCUAGGACAAAUACUGUCAGCUUUCUUCACUCUGUGGCUGUGCUGGUUCUGUAGCGAGGGUUGGGUCGUUUCUCCAGAACUGGUAAGAAACUAGAAUUGUUUGCUUCAUGAAGACUGGCACAGAAUACUAGAAUGACUCUAUGCGUGGAAGAUAAAUGUCUUCUCCCCUCACUUUGUUUUAUGGGCAACAAUUAAGCUGAUUUAAAAAUAAAUCCGUGCUGCCUCUGUGUGGACUCCA